rnacentral:lncRNA from 1 species
AAUGAAAGACCCCUGUCCCUUAGCCCUUUCUUUCUCAAGUUUGUCUCCUCUUCCUCCUGUCGGCGGCUUCCCCGAUCCCCACCCCCGGUGGCCUUUCCCCGCCCGGCCCGAGAACAAGCACCGGGUGGGGCCGGCCCGAGAAUGAGCACCAGGUGGGGCCGGCCCGAGAAUGAGCACCAGGUGGGGCCGGCCCGAGAAUGAGCACCAGGUGGGCCAGCCCGAGAACGAGCACCGGGUGGGCCGGCACGAGGGCGAGCACCAGGUGGGUCAGCACGAGAACAAACACCGAGUGAGCCGGCCUGGAGCCCUGCCCCUGAGCCCCCGCCCCGCCCGAAGAGAAACACUCCGUCCCAAGGUCUCCGCCCCCAAGGUCAGCCAUCAGGAAGGGGGGG